UUCAAAUAGGUUAGGAAAAUAUUUUUGUAUUUUUUGAAUAUCAAAAACUAUUUAAAAUGAUUUAAAAAUAACCAGAAAAGAGAAAAUUCACAAAAAAUAUCAAAUGACAAAAUAAAAAAUCUUAAAAAUCAAAAUUAGAAACUAGAAAUUAUUUGGAGGAGAAUGCAAUUGGUCCCAUAUUUUUUGGAUUUCAAAUGAAUAAGAUACGAAUUUUU
rnacentral:lncRNA from 1 species